rnacentral:rRNA from 1 species
GAUGAACGCUGGCGGCGUGCCUAAUACAUGCAAGUCGAGCGAACAGAUAAGGAGCUUGCUCCUUUGACGUUAGCGGCGGACGGGUGAGUAACACGUGGAUAACCUAUCUAUAAGACUGGAAUAACUCCGGGAAACCGGGGCUAAUGCCGGAUAACAUGUUGAACCGCAUGGUUCUACAGUGAAAGGCGGCUUUGCUGUCACUUAUAGAUGGACCCGCGCCGUAUUAGCUAGUUGGUGAGGUAACGGCUCACCAAGGCAACGAUACGUAGCCGACCGGAGAGGGUGAUCGGCCACCCUGGAACUGAGACACGGUCCAGACUCCUACGGGAGGCAGCAGUAGGGAAUCUUCCGCAAUGGGCGAAAGCCUGACGGAGCAACGCCGCGUGAGUGAUGAAGGUCUUCGGAUCGUAAAACUCUGUUAUUAGGGAAGAACAAAUGUGUAAGUAACUGUGCGCGUCUUGACGGUACCUAAUCAGAAAGCCACGGCUAACUACGUG